UACGUAGGGGGCAAGCGUUGUCCGGAAUCAUUGGGCGUAAAGGGCUCGUAGGCGGCCAACUAAGUCAGACGUGAAAUCCCUAGGCUCAACCUAGGAACUGCGUCUGAUACUGGAUGGCUUGAAUCCGGGAGAGGGAUGCAGAAUUCCAGGUGUAGCGGUGAAAUGCGUAGAUAUCUGGAGGAAUACCGGUGGCGAAGGCGGCAUCCUGGACCGGCAUUGACGCUGAGGAGCGAAAGCUAGGGGAGCAAACGGG
rnacentral:rRNA from 1 species